AUGAGGGCCUUAUUUUGGAAUGUUAGAGGGUUUGGUGCCUGGGGGCGCCGUGACCAAAUUAAAGAUCUAGUUCGUUCGAACAACAUUGAUUUUGUGGGGCUGGUAGAAACCUUUAAGGAAUCUUUUUCCCCUAAGGAUCUCUCUGCUAUCACGGGCAUGGAUAGAUUCGACUGGCACGUGUUACCCUCCUCGGGUCACUCGGGUGGGAUCUUGAUAGGCUCUAAUAAAGACAUUUUUGAUUUUGUUGCCUACGAUCAUGGGGAAUUUUGGGCUAGCUCUGUAGUUUGUCAUAAAUCCCUGAAUACUCUUUGUGAGUUUAUCGUGGUAUACGGGACUGCUGAUCAUUCUCUGUCUCCCUUAUUUCUUAAUGAACUCUCUGUGAAGAUCGAAUCCUGCAAUCUCCCGAUGGUUAUCGGGGGUGAUCUUAAUCUACUUCGUUGUCCUUCUGAUAAAAGUAACGACAUCUUCUCCUGGCCUUUGGCGAAUGCCUUUAACGACUUUAUCAGUGCCAAUGGUAUUCGUGAGCUUACCCGGGGUGGAGCCCGCUUUACUUGGUCCAAUCACCAGGCUAGUCCAAUUAGAUUAGUUCUUGAUAGAGUGUUCAUUUGUCCCAGGUGGGACUCCUUGUUUCCUAGGGCCUUCCUCGGCGCCAAAUGCAUUGUUGGUUCUGACCAUACCCCUCUAAUUCUUGACGGUGGUUCGAUUAAUCUUAGACCCCCUGCUAGAUUCCAAUUUGACGCCUCUUGGCUGCUCGUUGACGGUUUUAUUGAUAUGUUGGCCACGAAGAUAUCCCUCCUGCUUUCCUCUAAUGCUUGCUCUUUUGGCCCUCUGGAUGACUGGCACUCAUGCUCCUACAACUUGCGUAAAUUUCUCAGAGGUUGGUCUUGUAAUCAUGCGGCGGAGGAUCAGCGAUCCAAAGAUUUCCUUGAGGCAGAGAUCGCGGCGCUACAUCUGACGGCCGACUCUACUGGUCUUUCUGAUGAUGGCUAG
rnacentral:rRNA from 1 species